rnacentral:rRNA from 1 species
UAACAAGGAUUCCCCUAGUAACUGCGAGUGAAGCGGGAAAAGCUCAAAUUUAAAAUCUGACAGUUUCACUGUCCGAGUUGUAAUCUGGAGAAGCAUUUUCCGUGUCGGACCGUGUACAAGUCUCUUGGAAUAGAGCGUCAUAGAGGGUGAGAAUCCCGUCCAUGACACGGACUACCGAUGCUUUGUGAUAUGCUCUCGAAGAGUCGAGUUGUUUGGGAAUGCAGCUCAAAAUGGGUGGUAAAUUCCAUCUAAAGCUAAAUAUUGGCGAGAGACCGAUAGCGAACAAGUACCGUGAGGGAAAGAUGAAAAGCACUUUGGAAAGAGAGUUAAACAGUACGUGAAAUUGUUGAAAGGGAAACGCUUGAAGUCAGUCGCGUUGAUUGAGACUCAGCCUUGCUUUGCAUGGUGUACUUCUCAGUUAACGGGUCAACAUCAAUUUCAGUUGGUGGAUAAAGGCAUUGGGAAUGUGGCACCUUCGGGUGUGUUAUAGACCUUUGUUGCAUACACUGACCGGGAUUGAGGAACGCAGCACGCCACUAAGGCCAGGGAUUCGUCCCAUGUAACGUGCUUAGGAUGUUGGCAU